rnacentral:lncRNA from 1 species
GAGCCCACUGUCACUCAAAGGGAAGACCCUCCAGCUUCGCAUCCGUUCCUUUUGCCCCCGAACAAAGACAGAGGAGGCUGUUGAGCUGACCUAGCUCCGUGGGGCAGCAAAAACGCCUUGUUCGAGCCACCCAUCCUUGGGCCUGCCUUCAUCUGCGAUGUCAGCACCAAUGUAUUAUUUUUUAUUUUUACAACGCAUCCUGGGCGGGUGUAUGCAUUGCGGGGGUGGGGGUUGAACAGAGGAGAGGAGGGGUUGGUAGUGAAGCCUAGAACCCUCCUUCCUCUCCCUUCCUGCCAGGGUUGCUGUGCAGGGAGUGUCGGCCACAUUUGGCGCACUGUCCCAGGCCCGGGCGAAGAUGGCCAGGGGAAAUGGGGCUUAGGGAUUGCUAAGCAAACGGCACCACUGGUGGUCUACUACCGUCAGCAGAGUGUCGUAUCCCAAAAAGGAACUCACAAUAUUAACUGAGUGCAAAAGUCCCUGCUGUACUAUGAACAUUUGUUGACAAACAAAAUGACGGAGUGAAUAUUCAUGACCAAACCAUGAGAAAGCUGCAGUUACUUUCUUUUCUAUGGUACAGUAGCUAUAAUUGGAAAUAAUCAUUCAUCAGGAUGAAUACAUUUAUGCCAGGUGAGUGUUUUUCAACUUUAUUUAUAUAGCUAACAUGGUAUAUAGUCAAGUUGCUAUCAGCCGUUGGUUUCUUUCAAUGUUCUCUUUUAAAGCCAAGUGUUAAGCCUCAUUUCCUCAUUCCCAUAAUGCCAGAUACUCACUUUCUAUAUUGACCCAGGGACAUCAGGUGCUGCUGAAAUAAGACCGACUCCUACCAAACCUCCCUUGAAGUGAGGGCUUUUUCUUUGUAUUAUGCAGUGUAUAUGAGCUUUUUGUUGUUUGCUUUUGUUCGACCGACUCCUACCAAACCUCCCUUGAAGUGAGGGCUUUUUCUUUGUAUUAUGCAGUGUAUAUGAGCUUUUUGUUGUUUGCUUUUGUUCUUUUGUAAGCAGUGAUGUGUAAGAUGCGGCAUAUCUAGAGUUUAAGUCUUUACUCCUUACAAGGAUGGCAAGGAACAUCCUUACCGUGGUAGGCAGCCCCCAAAUGGCCCUCAGCCAUUCCUGACUUCUGGUCUUCACACCCUUGUGUAUUCCUCUGCCAGGUUGUGCGUGGAUUGAUCUGAUAACCAACAGAAUGUGGCAUAAGUAGUGUGCAUCACUUGUAAGAUUAGGAUAUAAAAGACUGGAAGGACCCAGGGACCACAGUCCAAAUGAGAACCUCAGCUAGUUCUUUAAGGCACUUUUUC